UUAAUAAUUAUUCACAUGAGAGGAUUUUUCUGACUGCAAUCAUGUUUUAAUUUCUCCUGCUGGGUUUAAUAUUUGUAAAUGCUUCAAAGGUUAACCAGGCUUCCUUUCUCAUCGGGAAGUAUUACUUGACUAUCUCCUGUCUGCUUCACUUAGGAUAUCAGCCUGAGAAACAGUGGCAGCACUUAAACUAUUUAUGAGGCAGUGAUCACUAGGAUGGGGUGGGGCUGGGAAUAUGUUUUUGGAGAUGCAGAAUCUGGGUUUUCUUAGUAGUACAAGACUGUUAGUUCCAUGAGGGCCAGGAGUAUUCAGAGAAAACAGAUGGUUUUUAAAAGUCAUACAGAAGAUUGAAUCUUGAAGUGCAAAAUAGAUUCUGGGCUGAAGUGUAAAAAUUAGAGGGACUUAUAGGGAGACAAUUCUCUGUGUGUAUCUUGCAUUUCUGCACAUCCUCUGAACAUAGACUUUGCCUACCUUUAUUCCAGAUUACCUUUUCAAGUAUUUCUCUGUAAGAAACAGCCUUGGAAGAUAGAGGUAGUGUCUCUCUCCUGAAGAAAGACCAGAUUUGCUCUUUCCAUAGUCAUGGAAGACAGAGACAGUGUUUCUCUCUGCAAGGGGCAGCUACCCUCUGGUACAUUGGCACUAUUAUUGUUCUCAUUGUACGGAUGUGGACCCUGAUGUGCAGAAACUUAAGUCAAUUGCCCAAGGUCGCAUUGCUGAUUAAAAUUUAGGAACUUUGAAACCUGGAAUAAGAUCAUGGGGUACUUCAGUGUUCCAUAAAACUCAAAGAACCAGAGCAAAUCAAUUGUCUAGCAGCUAGGAGGUUUUCUUCACCACAGAACUAUGGCUCUCUUCCUUCGGGUUUAAGGAUCUUUCAAUUUGAGCUGGCUUUUUACACUGCAUAGUCUCUUCACUAUCCAGGAUUCCCUGACCUUCCUGACCUUGGUCAAUAUGUGCAGGCUCACUCUGAGAUCCACAAGAGACCAGUACUGUAAGGGGGAAGGGACUGUGAACACAACAGUUUCUCACUUAAGAGUGGAAAUAUUCAAUUCAUUUGGAAGCAAAAACCCCAACUGUGGUUAUGUUAUUCAUAUGCCCAUUGAAUUUGCCUUUUUCUUGAAUUUAAUUUUAUGUAGAAUCCGUGUAAAUAUGUUACGUAUAUUACAAAGUGUGUAAUAUAUGUGUAAAUACAUUAUAAAGUCCUUCGUAAUGUAAUGACUUAAAGAAAUAACAUCCUUCCACACCAAGCAACAAAAGUGUAGCUCUGUUCUUACCCUACUACUCAAUAUAAUUCAUGCAGCAUCACACUUCAGUGUGUAACAGUUUAACACAACACCCAACACUAGAGUAGAAUUUCUUCAAAAAGUGGCAGGUGAGGAACAAAGGGCAGAAACAUGAUGCAUUUCUUACUAAAAGCUUAAGUACUUGCUUUUUGAAUUAAAAUAGACUAUCCUGCUUGUCUCUUCAUGUCAGGAUAGAUGCUUAAUUUUUCUGUAUAGUGUGGAUUUAAUGUAAAAUGGACCCAUGGAGUCCGAAAUCUUUGAUAUUUGUUAUUCAUUUCUUUUGCAAAAUCUCAUGUCCUGGAGAGACACAUUCCAUUUAGAAAUUUGGAUUCUGCAGUUAAAUUCUCUACUUUUCAGAGUAUCACACAUCUUAUUUUUAGUAAGUGAGGCUAAUCUAUGUGAUUAUCUCCUCCCUCCCUUUCUUCAUUUUUUCUUCCCUCCUCCCCAUUCCCAACCUUGGAAUUUCUGCCACUUACCAGCGUGUUGAGAUGCCUCUCACACUUGCAGAGCUGUUAUGAGCUGCGGAAAGGAAAGAAAUAGCAGGUGUAGACUGGGAGGGUGCGGUGUGAAGAUUCUGUAGAGAAGAUGGAGCUUACAGGAAACUCAGAAAUGAGACUGGUAAAUGCUAGCCCAGACUUUGCUCUACAUAAAAAGUAAGUCAGUAUGGAGAAAAGUCCAGUGCAGAAAAAUCUCAUGAAAUACACAUUUUCAUACCACCAGCUCUCAUUUGCUUAAAGGCUCAAAUUCUUCUCCUUGUAAUUGUAUACUAUUUCUGAGCGGUCCAGGGUUGAUACUCACUUGUCCUCAGGAGCAGGUCAUUCACUAUGAUAGCCUGGUUCUACUCCCAAACUGUUGCUGCUGUUGCAAAGUCCCACAUAAAGAUCUGCAGCAUUUAGUGAUCAUCCCACUAUCCACCUUCAUAAACUCAGUGAAAAAUACCCCCAUUCCACUUUCCUACUUCAACCCAAGCAUGGAGGAAGCCCUUUGCUUCCAUCCACUACAUUGUGGAAGAGUCCAGGCUCUUCUUUCUUAUGAUAAUUAACUUAAAGCUUGAGAUAAUGUCAUGAAAGCUUAACACAUAGAUGAAGUUUCAGCUUCUCCCCAGGAUCUCUACCUGGGCUGUUUCUCUGCAUUGCUCCAAGCAAUCCCCAGGGGAAGCACAUCCCCAGGGGAAGCUCAACCCCCACUCCUGCCAUGGGAAAUACUGUAGGAAUCUCCAUGCUUUGAAGCAUAAUUUGGCUCAUACCCAUAGAGAAGAGGAAGUUUUAUCUCACUACAACAUGAAGCUUUCCUCCUGACUUUCAUUUUUCUGCCACAUGACUGACAUGUUCUCAAGAUAUCUGACAAUGAAAAAACUUCAUCUUUCUAAGAAAAAGCUCAAUCCUAUACAUAGUCAUUCACACAAUUUUCUGGCAUUACUGCUUCCACUGGAAUUCUGAUUUAACCCAGCUUAAAUAAAAAUAUCUGUAGAAUGUCAAAGGUACUACUUACAGGUAGCCCCAAAGAAGCUAAUGCAAACUCCUUUUCAAUGUCAAGCUUGGAAACACUGGGGAAUCGAGAUGCCCCGCAGUUUAUCCAGCUGGAAUCCACUAAUACGGAAUUUAUGGAUGUUAUGGAGCAGCUAGUUUGGUCUUAUUCUGUCCUCAAACCAUGAGAAGUAUUUUUAAUUUAUUCUUUAAAUUAAAAUGUAUAGAAAUAUUAAAAAUGUGUUUCAAGAGAUAUGUAGUCUAAUAAAUAUACGUAUUUUUUCUCAGCCCUUGUUUAAACAACCCGUAUCCUCACGAUGUAACACCUUAGUCAUUCAGGCGGAAUUUUAAGGAAUAGCCACUUGACAACAUUUCUUUUUGAGCGGAGUCUCGCUCUG